GAUGAACGCUGGCGGCGUGCCUAAUACAUGCAAGUCGAACGAUGAAGCUGGAGCUUGCUCUGGUGGAUUAGUGGCGAACGGGUGAGUAACACGUGAGUAACCUGCCCUGGACUCUGGGAUAACCCCGAGAAAUCGGAGCUAAUACCGGAUAGGACCUCGGAUCGCAUGAUCUGGGGUGGAAAGUUUUUCGGUCUGGGAUGGACUCGCGGCCUAUCAGCUUGUUGGUGAGGUAAUGGCUCACCAAGGCGUCGACGGGUAGCCGGCCUGAGAGGGUGACCGGCCACACUGGGACUGAGACACGGCCCAGACUCCUACGGGAGGCAGCAGUGGGGAAUAUUGCACAAUGGGCGCAAGCCUGAUGCAGCAACGCCGCGUGCGGGAUGACGGCCUUCGGGUUGUAAACCGCUUUUAGUAAGGAAGAAGCCGCAAGGUGACGGUACUUGCAGAAAAAGGACCGGCUAACUACGUGCCAGCCGCCGCCGUAA
rnacentral:rRNA from 1 species